UACGAAGGGGGCUAGCGUUGUUCGGAAUUACUGGGCGUAAAGCGCACGUAGGCGGGUCGUUAAGUCAGGGGUGAAAUCCCGGAGCUCAACUCCUGAACUGCCUUUGAUACUGGCGAUCUAGAGAUCGAGAGAGGUGAGUGGAAUUCCGAGUGUAGAGGUGAAAUUCGUAGAUAUUCGGAAGAACACCAGUGGCGAAGGCGGCUCACUGGCUCGAUACUGACGCUGAGGUGCGAAAGCGUGGGGAGCAAACAGG
rnacentral:rRNA from 1 species